GCUCCCUGAAUGUUAGCGGCGGACGGGUGAGUAACACGUGGGUAACCUGCCUGUAAGACUGGGAUAACUCCGGGAAACCGGGGCUAAUACCGGAUGGUUGUUUGAACCGCAUGGUUCAGACAUAAAAGGUGGCUUCGGCUACCACUUACAGAUGGACCCGCGGCGCAUUAGCUAGUUGGUGAGGUAACGGCUCACCAAGGCGACGAUGCGUAGCCGACCUGAGAGGGUGAUCGGCCACACUGGGACUGAGACACGGCCCAGACUCCUACGGGAGGCAGCAGUAGGGAAUCUUCCGCAAUGGACGAAAGUCUGACGGAGCAACGCCGCGUGAGUGAUGAAGGUUUUCGGAUCGUAAAGCUCUGUUGUUAGGGAAGAACAAGUGCCGUUCAAAUAGGGCGGCACCUUGACGGUACCUAACCAGAAAGCCACGGCUAACUACGUGCCAGCAGCCGCGGUAAUACGUAGGUGGCAAGCGUUGUCCGGAAUUAUUGGGCGUAAAGGGCUCGCAGGCGGUUUCUUAAGUCUGAUGUGAAAGCCCCCGGCUCAACCGGGGAGGGUCAUUGGAAACUGGGGAACUUGAGUGCAGAAGAGGAGAGUGGAAUUCCACGUGUAGCGGUGAAAUGCGUAGAGAUGUGGAGGAACACCAGUGGCGAAGGCGACUCUCUGGUCUGUAACUGACGCUGAGGAGCGAAAGCGUGGGGAGCGAACAGGAUUAGAUACCCUGGUAGUCCACGCCGUAAACGAUGAGUGCUAAGUGUUAGGG
rnacentral:rRNA from 1 species